GCGGCGGUGGCCCAGUGGUUAAUGGGUCAUACUUCUAUCUAAUAUAUGCGGUAUGCGGGUGUUCAAACCCCCUGCUGCC